CGUUAGUGGCGCACGGGUGCGUAACGCGUGGGAAUCUGCCCUUUGGUUCGGAAUAACAGUUGGAAACGACUGCUAAUACCGGAUGAUGACGAAAGUCCAAAGAUUUAUCGCCAGAGGAUGAGCCCGCGUAGGAUUAGCUAGUUGGUGUGGUAAAGGCGCACCAAGGCGACGAUCCUUAGCUGGUCUGAGAGGAUGAUCAGCCACACUGGGACUGAGACACGGCCCAG
rnacentral:rRNA from 1 species